GCAAGCUGCUGUCACUGGAUACGUCUGUUAAAGAGAGUCGACAGAGAGCUAAUGAACUGCAGUAGAAAACAUCGUUCUUCAUGACAGCUGGAAUGCAGGAAACCCAGAGGCUGGCAGACGAUUCCACUACUUUCAUGAUGGAUAUGGAAAGAAGGUGCCAUUUGUCAGCCAUGGAGCAGAUUGGACCAAGAGAGAUGAAUGAGAACAAGGGAUGAAAGACAUGAGGGCUGGAGAGAUGGCGUUUCUGACAGGAGGAAGAAAUUUAUAGCCACAAAACCUACAUCUGACAUCCUGUUUGAUCUUGAUUCAGACUCUUAAAUCUCUCAUCUGCACCCGGUCUCUCCUCUGCCUCACUCCUCAAGUUGAGGGUCAGACUCAGGACCAUCGUAGCCCAGCUCGCUGCCGAUGGGGAAGUGAGCCCAGAAGGUACGAGCCAGGUCCUGCAUCCCUUCGUGAGCUGCCUGGGCUCGUAGCUCCUCCAACCACCCGAAAAAGUCUGACGACCACAGGCCCCAGUAGGUCUUGCCUUACCUGAUCAGCAGGAGAUUAUGCUCGUGGUCCUGUCCCUCGUCCUUCUCUCUCAGAGUGAUCUCAGGAUGACGACUGCAUCUCGAAUAGAAGCCAACAAGAAGGUGAAAAGAGGAGAGAAAAGAAGGAAAACGUGGAUGAAAAGAAGCAUGUACCAGACAGUUUUCACACCUGGUAUCCAGACAGACUGUACCAACAUCUAGACACAGGGUGUAAAGUUAGUUGACAGUUGUUUCUUUCCUGACCAUCCACUUAUCUGUUCUGUCGAUGUUUGUUUCUGUCUGAGGACACCAGCAGACAGAGGAGGCAUCAUGACUGAAUCCAUGCUGUGUCUUUCUGUUGUUUGUCAGAGGAAAAGUUGCAGUGCUUUGACAGAGGACAAACCUCAGAGACUUGGUUACUGUCAGCAACUACACAAAGUGCAGAUGAUCUUUGCCGGUGAAAGUUUAAUAGAGAAAGUUGGUGUUAUUCUAUAUUUUCCCAAUCCCAUUCAAAGACCAAAACCAACAAUAUUUAAGCCUGCCUCAGUACUUCUCAACUUUUUAACCCCUAAAUGGGCAAGCACAUGUAAAUAUUUUGGAAAAUUAAUUAAUUGCUUUUUGUAUCUAUGUAUCUAUGCUAAAAUGAAACAAUUUCAUGAUUUUUUUCAAAAUUUGACCUUUAUUUUCCAGUUUACACUCUGUAUCUCCCGAGAUACCUUGCCCAUUUGGGGAGUAAAUUUAACAUUUCCCCCUUUUUUAGUAGAUCAUGUGGCAACUUUUAAAACAUUUUAUAAACAUUUAUUUAGCUACCUUCUUUCAUGUUUUGAAUACAAAAUUUAAAAAGUGAAAUAAAGUGAAUAGUUGCUUUCUCCUCUGCCUCAUCACUAGAGCUACCAUUCAAAUUGUCACUGCUGCUGUUGCCAUCCUCACACUGUCCCUCUGUAUACUGCUCAUCUUCCUCGUCUUCCUACCGGUUCCCUCGUCUGAAUCUGAACUAUUAGGUGGAAAAGCUACACCGCUCCCUUUAUUGAAAUGUAGAAACUGCUGACAGAAAUUCCCUAAAAACAUGUGUACACUGGUGAAUUAAUCGAUAAAAAAACGUUUAAUAGUGUCAUCAGCAUGAAAAUAGGCAUUUGCAUCAGGAAGAUUUCAACGCUCUAGUGAGUUUUUACAGCAGCAGGACAGAGUAAAAUAAAGAGUAUUUCACACCUUUAUAUUUUGAUUAUCUGUAGAGUAUAGGCCUCAAAACAUAUAUAUAGUAUAUCUGUGAGUGAUUAUUCCUGUUUUAUACCCUUAUCUGGGUGUGUGUGUGAGUGUGUGUGUGUGUUUGUACUUGCUACAUAGUGAGGAUUGAAACACAUUUUUUAUCUACAAAGUGAGGACAUUUUGGCCGGUCUUCACAACUUCCAAGGGCUGUUUGAAGCAUAGACUGUAUAUAAAGAUGGACGGAUAGAUAGAUUGUCUUCACUUCCUCCCACUGUACUAAAUGAAACUAAAAUAUCCCAGAUACAAGAGCUGCCAUUUUGCGCACUUGAACAAACAUCAGCGUGACAAGAACUACCUAAAAUGACAGAAACCAUCUUUGGGAAACGUUUAUUUGACGUGUACUUUGAGUUUUUAGUUUGGCCCAUGUCCCAUCCGCUAACAUGGAGGGGGCUGGGUUUAUGACCUAUACUGCAGCCAGCCACCAGGGGGCGAUCAAGAUGUUUUGGCUUUACUUGUGGGGAGUUGUCAUGUCGACCAUCUUUAUAUACAGUCUAUGGUUUGAAGGUGGUUUGAAGAUGGUUAGGGUGAGGGUUAGGCAUUUAGUUGUGAUGGUUAAGGUUAGGGGCUAAAAAAUGAAUUAUGUCAAUGACAGUCCUCACAAAGACAAAAGUACAAGGAUGUGUGUGUGUGUGUGUGUGUGUGUGUGUGUGUGUGUGUGUGUGUGUGUGUGUGUGUGUGUGUGUGUGUGUGUGUGUGUGUGUGUGUGUGUGUGUGUCAAAAUAAGCUACAGUGUGCAUUUUAAUCGUAAUGAAGGAACGUGUCAUCCAGUGCAACAGUGCGGCUCAUUGAUGUGAUUCUAAUAGUUCUGGACAACAAUGGAGAUCUAUGGCAAUGGUUUCCAACCUUUUUGACUUGAACACCUUAAAACAACCCAGUGUCUGCUUGUCACAGGUUAUGCCCUUGCGUGUGAACAUGAGUUGUGAGCAGUUAGUACAAAGUUAGAUUUUUCCUUCCCAGAUUGUUUCAUUUGAAUGAUUUUUAGAGAGCUUAAGAGAUAAAAGUAUGGAAAAAAGCAAAAAAAAAAAUCUGUAUAGAUAAACGCCAUUUUGUGUAACAGAAAUAUAACUAUUUUGAUAAUCCAUUAAUCGUUUAAAUCAUUUUAAAGCAAAAAUACCAAACAUUUGAUGGUUCCAGGUUUGGUCUUUUCAUGAGAUUUGUUCACAAUAAGAAAAAUACAGAACAUCCAGCCCUAUCCUUGAUGAAAGAAGCAACCUGGGGUUAAGAGAAAACGAAGUGUGUAUUAUUGUCCAGGAAAAGACAAGACAAAAGCCAUCAAAUUUCAAAUUUCCAUCACUAUAAGAUAUAGGAGCAUAUCGAUGUGAAUGUGUGACGCAGCUGAGCCUUUAACUACAGGUCCUGUAAAAUGAGACAGUAAUAGGGACUGAAUAAGGUGGAGAGUGGUCUGACCAAGACGGAGGAACCAUUAUCUUGUACAUCACACUCACUACACCACACUCACUGUCACUCAUCCACACAUUAUAAACCCUCCUGACCUUUGCCCUUCCUACAUGCUUCUGCAUGGCUUCUCAUUUUGUUACCAGCCUUGAGCCCGGUGGUGACAAAUGGGGGCUUGUCUGGGAUCAAAACAAACAUUUAGACUUUUUUGGUAACAGUAAUAUUAAUGGGGAUUUGGCCUGGCUUGUCCAUUAGUUUGUAGGCAUUUGGUAUUUGGUAAGUCUGCUUUUACCUGGAACUAUUGUUAUGCUGGUUUUGCACAUUAUCAUACCAUUACCUUCUCACUACCCUCAUUCCCAGAACUACCUCGAGUUUUCUCUCCUUUUUGCACUAUUACCCUGAUAUUAUUAUAAUAUUUUUUGUGUGUAUAUUUAUGUAGGCCUAUAGUAUAUUCGUAACUGUAUAUCUUCCUUGUAAAUAUAAUUUAGUUUUCCUUUUUAUUUAUUCCUUUAGUGCUGCUUUUAUAUACUUUGUUGUAUAUGUAUGUAUAUACAAAGAGUUUUAGGGGAGGUGUGAAAAAAAGGCAGGGAAAUAUUUUGAAAACAAUAAAUUGUUUAUGCUUUCUGGAAAAUAAUAAAAUCCAAUUUAAUAAUUUGGUGGAUGAAUUGAAUUGAAUAAAUAAGUAAUAUUUAUUUUAAAAAAAUGCAUUUUGAUAAUCACUCCCUCCACCCUGACAGCGGAUGUGUCAAAUUAAUUUGAAAGGAAACAUCUGGUUAGCUAGCACUGACAGUAACUUUACCCAGCGCGAGAGAAAAUGUCUGAACCCAGCAGAAAGCACCUAAAGUAUGACGCAUCAUAUCGCGUAGCGUUACGCACUGCGCGUAAGCGCCACAACAUUGGCGAAACCUUACUCCCCCCUGCUGCAAAGGAUAUGUGCUCAGUGAUGAUGGGAGAAGUUGACUUGUCAUCCCCUUGUCUGACAACACUGUCCAGCGCCGUAUCUCUUACAUGGCAUUGGACGUGAAGGAGCAGGUGUUGGACGGUAUUCGUGAGAGUCACUACUUCUACAUUCAAAUAGACGAUUGCACCGAUGUGGCGAACAGCGCACAGCUAAUGAGUUAUGUGCGCUACAUCAGAGAGUUAAAUCUCCAGUAGGAGUUUUUGUUUUGUCAUUCUUUGACAAGAAAUAUUAAAGGCCUUGAAUGACUUCAUUGAGGAUAACAACACUGAUUGGAAGCGGUGCUGUGGUAUACGUAGCGACGGGGCCACGGCAAUGACAGGUCACCAUGGUGGCCUGGUGAAACGCGUGCAAGAAGUUGCUCCCACCGCUGUUUGGAGUCACUGCAUCAUCCAUCGACAGGCCUCGUUGAUGUCCAAGAAGAUGCCAGAGGAGCUGUGUGCCAUCCUGGGUGAGGCAGCAAAAAUUGUGAACCUGAUUAAAUCCCGCGCCCUGAAUGCUCGUGUGUUCUCCAUCCUCCACGGUGAGAUGGGCACACACUUCCGCCAGCUACCCCUGCACCCUGAGGUCCGCUGGUUGUCUCAGGGUAAGGUCCUCAGCUGCCUGUGUGACCUGCGUGAGGAAGUCCUCCUAUUUCUUGCCAAAAUCAACUCUCCGUUGAUGAAACACGUGGAGGACAUGAACUGGGUGGCGAGGUUGGUUUGUCUGUCUGAUAUUUUCGAAAGGAUUAAUGUGCUCAAACACUUCUCUGCCCGGAAAGGAGUGCCCUGUCUAUUUGGUACACGAUAAGUUGGACCUGUGCUGUGGUCACGUGGAACAGGGCUCGGAAGAAAUGUUUCCAACCUUGGAGGAUGUUUUGGAGAAAGCAGGACUGACCGUUGUCUCCGUACAACAGGUGGCCACUGCGCAUUUGAAAGGCUUGCACGAGCACUUUGGCAGUUAUUUCGGAGAAGAAAACAUGGCAAAUCAGUGGGUUAGAAAUCCAUUCAGCUUCCCAGCAGAGCCCCCGUGAUGGACUGAGCAUCCAAGAGGAGGAGGACCUACUCGACCUGAGCUCUAAUAUGAAGUUGCAACAGAUGUGUGGCUUGCACACUUUUGGCUGUCUGUGAAGACCGAGUUCCCGUCCCUCUUCAUGAGGCCUAUAAAAGUACACAUCCCCUUCACGUCCCACUUACGUCUACGUACUGCCUUGAUCCUGGUUAAAAGAAAGUACCGGUCGAGGCUGCAGGCGGAGGGCGACCUGCGCUUGUUCUGGUCAUCGGUACAGCCCUGCAUCCAGACUCACUGCUCCCAUUAAGGCUCAUAAUGUGGAUCUUGAAAAUGUGAACAGUUGUCAGGUGACAAUGCAAGAAGCCCAAUACUGCCAUCAUGUGGAAAUCUAAAGCUCUCCUAAUGCAACUCUGCCACGACUUCACCCCGCUGACUCACCGAUGACUCGCUGUCUCGUAUGAGGAAGUCGCCCUCCUCUCCUCGCUCGUUGAGUAUACAC